CAUGCACCAGUGGGGUCCCUCGGCCUGGCCUGCGUCCUCUCACAAUCCAGGACCCCUCGGGGGAUGUCGGAGAGCUGGUUUUGGCCCGAUUAUGCAGGCCAGGCCGAGGGACCCCCACUGGUGCACG
rnacentral:pre_miRNA from 1 species